GGCUGCCCUUCCCUGCCGCCUCCUUCUUUUCUCUCCCUCCCGGCUCUGUCCGCCCAGGGCUCCGCACCACAUAGCCAGAGAUACCGGUCACCAGAUUUAGGGUACACCCUAAUCCAGGAUGAUCUAAUCUGGACAUCCAUAACCAACUAUAUCAGCAAAGACCCUGUUUCCAAAUAAGGUCACAUUCUGAGCGUCUAGGCGGACAUGAAUUCGGAAUCCCCUUUUUACGGAUGAGGAAAGUGGGGACCAGUGAAGUGAAAUGCUUGGUUCAGAGUCCCUAAGAAUGGGAGACUGGAAUCUCGGGCAGCCACCUUUGCCGCCAUGCAGGGAGCUCCCAAAGGAGAAUGAAGCCCACUCGGAGGGAAGCAGAGACAUAGGCCGAGGUCCGUUCUUACCAAUGUUGUCCGAGUACCUGGAUCCAGCUCUUCCUGAAAGCCUGAAGGCACAGCUGUCCCUGAAUUUCUCAUUUUUAAAAACAACUUACUGUGCUCAAGCUAGCUGGAACUGGGUUUCUGUAAAUAAACAACAAAAAGAAACCAAAGGUGACUCCAUUCCCCUCACCUGCCUUCACAUGUUCCCAUCACUAUGGAAUAAAAUACAACUCCUCAGCAAGGACCACACAGCCUUCCUGAUCCAGUGCCUCCCCCCCUCCCUCUUCAUCCUUCGACACCCCCACCCCUGCUUCUUAUUUAAUACACCGGCCACAUAAUUCACAUACACACACAGUGUGUUUUCCAGCCUUUGGGUAUCUACUCUGGCUGUCUCCUAUGCCCAGAAUGCUCUCAUCACCCCCACCCUGACCCCCAAAUGCUUACUCAUCCAUUAUCACUCAAUUCAGGCAUUACCUCCUCCAAAAAGCCUUCCCUGACUCAGUGCCCCACCUCUCCUCUGACUGGAAGACUGUCCCCUGGGCUCCCCACAGCCCUGUGUGUGGUUUGGUCACAACACUUGCCUACACAUUGUUUUUAAUUAUCUGUCCAUGUCUCCUCUCCGCCCCUCACACACCCAAGUGGGGAUCCCUUAGGGCCAAGUCUGUGCCUGGCUCACUGCCGACCAGCACAAUGUUUGGGCCAUUGUAAGGUCUCAAUACUUGUCUGUUGAAUGAAUGAAUGAAAACAUGCUUUGGAACACUGUUUUGUAAGGGAGCUUAUUUUCCAAGUUUUCCCAAAGAUAUAAAGUUUAGAUUUAUGCCAGCAGCCGUCAAGCAGGCCAUGUCAGCUCCAUUCUGUCCUCUUUUUAAGGAUGCAGUUUCUAGGAUUUCAGCAAUUGGUUUUUGCCUUGGCUGAGAUUGGACUGUGGGGCCCUCCCCUCCCUGGAGUCCAACCCCGCUCCCUUCCUGAGUGGAGUGACAGGGAAAGAUGGGGCCCGCUUGCCAGCAGUGGCUCACAUGGAGGCCUCUGACACCCACUGUUGAUGACAGAGAGUAGAGAGACCUCUCCCCCAGCCCAGAAUGAUGGUGAGCAAACCUUCAGACACUGUCCAUAUCCUGUUCUAAAGCUUCUGGUAGUGGUCACAUACAUGCUUUUAAAUAUGAACACCCAGAAGCUGUCAGAAGGGGUCAUCCAUCACCUCCCUUCCUCACUGGGGGAUUCUGAUCUGCAGACCAGCCAAAACAUUGAAGUCAGGCCUCUGCCCACCUCUCACCAGCUGGCUCCGUGCACUUUGAUUCACUGUCUGGGUCCCCAUGAGCAGAAAGGUGCUCAGGAGGUACUUUGGCAGGGGCGGGGCAAGGAGCUUCCUAGGCAUAUUCUUCUUUGCUCCCGGAGGUCCCUCUGGAUGCCAGCGAAGCUAUGAACAGAUGGAUGGGGCUGAACUGGGAGACUCAGACUGCUGGGGCACCAGCUACCCAAAGAGUGCCUGAGCCAAAGGAUGAAGACUUCUAGAUGCCUUGACACAGAUGAUGGGUCAAAAUUAGUUAUGGUUCCCAGGGUGGGAAAUGACCAUCCUCCCCUUGCCAGUCCCUCCAUUUAUUUGUCAGGGAGCAAAAGCUGUCUGUCUGCAUCCCCCGUGCCUCAUGGAGCUGCUGGGCUUCUAGGCCAGUUAUCAGGUUUAACAUUCCUGGAGGGCCUACACACCCAGUCCUGGAAUUAGAACAACCUAGUCCAUCCUAUGACUCAAUCAAGAUGGGCUCCGCUGUUCCAGGCUGUGCUGGGGGGACCCACAAUUGGCUGAGUAUCAGCUAGUCCUGGCUUCUCUCCUGGGGUCAGCAGGACAGGGCCAGGCUAGUUGGAAGCCUUGUCAUCUGAGACUGCUUGCCUUUCACCUGCCUCUGUUUCUAAGCAUCUACACUUCCCACCCUGCCAUGCUCUCCUGAGGGUGUCACUCAGUAACCCUACAAGUUCCCAACCAGACCCACCCACCCUGGCGGAAGAGCACCAGACCCAGCUUUGAAAGUUUUGGAAAUGACCUUCACAAGUUGCUUCUCAGGCACUGAUGGACAAUGACUGCAAUGAGGUAUGGGUGGGGGGGACUCGAUUAUAUGGGGGAAUGUAGUAACCACAUUGUUUUUCAUGUGAAACCUUCAUAAGAGUCUGUAUCAAUAAUACCUUAAUAAAAAAUUGUA